rnacentral:rRNA from 1 species
UACGAGGGGUGCAAGCGUUGCUCGGAAUUAUUGGGCGUAAAGGGUAGGUAGGUGGUCUCAUUUGUCUGGGGUGAAAGCCUCGAGCUUAACUCGAGAAGUGCCCCAGAAACGGUGAGACUUGAGUCUUGGAGAGGCUAGCGGAAUUCCCGGUGUAGCGGUGAAAUUCGUAGAUAUUCGGAAGAACACCAGUGGCGAAGGCGGCUCACUGGACCGGUAUUGACGCUGAGGUGCGAGAGCGUGGGGAGCAAACAGG